rnacentral:rRNA from 1 species
GGGAUAAUUCCGGAUAACGCAUAUAUGCUGGAAUGCUUUAUGCGUGAAAUGGAUUCGUCUGCCCAAGGAUGGGUCUGCGGCCUAUCAGGUAGUAGUGGGUGUAAUGUACCUACUAGCCGACGACGGGUACGGGUUGUGAGAGCAAGAGCCCGGAGAUGGAUUCUGAGACAUGAAUCCAGGCCCUACGGGGCGCAGCAGGCGCGAAAACUUUACAAUGCGGGAAACCGUGAUAAGGGGACACCGAGUGCCAGCAUCAUAUGCUGGCUGUCCAGGUGUGUAAAAUACACCUGUUAGCAAGGGCCGGGCAAGACCGGUGCCAGCCGCCGCGGUAACACCGGCGGCCCGAGUGGUGAUCGUGAUUAUUGGGUCUAAAGGGUCCGUAGCCGGUUUGGUCAGUCCUCCGGGAAAUCUGAUAGCUCAACUAUUAGGCUUUCGGGGGAUACUGCCAGACUUGGAACCGGGAGAGGUAAGAGGUACUACAGGGGUAGGAGUGAAAUCUUGUAAUCCCUGUGGGACCACCUGUGGCGAAGGCGUCUUACCAGAACGGGUUCGACGGUGAGGGACGAAAGCUGGGGGCACGAACCGGAUUAGAUACCCGGGUAGUCCCAGCCGUAAACGAUGCUCGCUAGGUGUCAGGCAUGGCGCGACCGUGUCUGGUGCCGCAGGGAAGCCGUGAAGCGAGCCACCUGGGAAGUACGGCCGCAAGGCUGAAACUUAAAGGAAUU